UCUUUAUCGACGUGUGUACUAAAGAGCUGUGCUAUAAAUAGCCCUUGACCGAUAGAUAGACAUUUCUGCUUUACUUUUGAACGAAAACUAUUGUGGCAAAUUUCUUGAUAGAUACGGACGGAAAUGAUGUCGCACCACUCAAUAGAACAAGAAGAAAUCCAUCCGAUCUUCAAGGAAACAGUAAGCAAUGAAAGUAAUGGUAAUUUCGUCCUUUCCAGUAAUCAAUGCUUAAAGGACGAAAUUACCAUUACUGAACAGUGCUUCAAAUCGCUGGACAAUGGCGGAAGUACAUCAACAACGUGGAUCAAGUAUGAGUAUUAAAACUCAAAUUUUAAAUGUGACUUCGGUCAACACUCGAUGAAUAAUGGCUCCUCAAGAGAAACUUGACAAGUACAUCAGAUGCUGCGAGGGGGGGGGGAGGUCUAACUAUAUACAGUCAAAAUGGAUAGCUUCGGUGUGGAAAGAUUGCCCUUCUCUGAUUACGGUCAAUUUUGAUCAUCCUGUCUAAUGUAAUCCUUACACUUAGGGUCCACAGCUUCCAGGAGGGCUUUUUAGUCUCGUCCUCUGUUUUUAAAACAUUGGUUUUAGGUACCACAAAGAUGAUUGACUUGGGAAUAGAGACAACAGACUUCACAUGCUUGGGAGCUGCUGUUUACAGGGGACUAGAAAAAGAAAACCCCCCUCUUCCCAUCAAUGAAUUAUUUUGUCAAUGUCUACUACACCAAAAUGUGAACAAUUUGCAACUUUUCUUCUGACAAUCAAAGUUCAACAUUUUGGUGUAGUAGGCUUUGACAAAAUGUCACAUUAAUUCAUUGGUGGUUCCCAUUGACAUAUAAUAAAUGAAGCACGGAUACUGCAGGUGAGAGAAGGGAAAACUAAGAGGGCAAGCUGCCUCUUACCGUUACGCAUCUGAUAGGUUCCUUCAAAAGAAGAAAUUAAAUUGGAAAAACCAAUCAGGUGCGUAACCGUAAGAGACAGUUCGUCCUCUUAGUUUUCCCUUCUCUCUUACCUGCAGUAUGCGCGUUUAUCAUUGACAGUCCAUUUAUUAAAUGUUGAUGGUGGUUCCUGUAAAUGAAAUUCCUAAUAAGCAAUUAUAUUGUGCCAUACAUCAUUGUAAAUAAUAAAAAAUGAUACUCAAUAUACUUAUGUACACUU